GCUGGCGGCGUGCCUAACACAUGCAAGUCGAGCGAACUCUUCGGAGUGAGCGGCGGACGGGUGAGUAACGCGUGGGUAACCUGCCCUGUACACAUGGAUAACAUACCGAAAGGUAUGCUAAUACAAGAUAAAAUAUAUUUAUCGCAUGAUAGAUAUAUCAAAGCGUUAGCGGUACAGGAUGGACCCGCGUCUGAUUAGCUAGUUGGUAAGGUAAAGGCUUACCAAGGCGACGAUCAGUAGCCGACCUGAGAGGGUGAUCGGCCACAUUGGAACUGAGACACGGUCCAAACUCCUACGGGAGGCAGCAGUGGGGAAUAUUGCACAAUGGGCGAAAGCCUGAUGCAGCAACGCCGCGUGAGCGAAGAAGGCCUUCGGGUCGUAAAGCUCUGUCCUCAAGGAAGAUAAUGACGGUACUUGAGGAGGAAGCCCCGGCUAACUACGUGCCAGCAGCCGCGGUAAUACGUAGGGGGCAAGCGUUAUCCGGAUUUACUGGGCGUAAAGGGUGCGUAGGUGGUCUUACAAGUCAGGAGUGAAAGGCUACGGCUCAACCGUAGUAGGCUCUUGAAACUGUUAGACUUGAGUGCAGGAGAGGAGAGUGGAAUUCCUAGUGUAGCGGUGAAAUGCGUAGAUAUUAGGAGGAACACCAGUUGCGAAGGCGGCUCUCUGGACUGUAACUGACGCUGAGGCACGAAAGC
rnacentral:rRNA from 1 species